CUCGUCUUUCAACGCCAGUAGCUCAGUCCCGUUGUAACAGUUCAGUUGGCGUCACCCGCAUCACCUCCAGUCUACCGUGCGACUGACGCGGUCUGUGUACACAGAAAAUGCCCAGAAAGUGACUCUAGAGGACGGCAGGACUGUCCGGACAUUGGCACUGGAUUCCGUGAAGGUUUUAUGCCCGACAGACCCAAGUCUCCUGCGCCGUAUCCGCAGCAUUAGGCCUCAUGGAGCUGGGGACUCGACGCCUGCUGUGCACCAGGGAGCUCGAUCCAUGCCCGGUUCCUAGCAAACGACCAUAAAGGGUUGGAAUCUUGAUUACCCUUCAGUUCCUUUUGCCCAUCCCUCCCCCUAAUUUGCCCCUGUGGUGAUAUUGCGCCUCCUGCCUGUGGCCUGCAACAUGAUUGGCAAGCUGAAACAGAACCUGCUGGUGGCCUGUCUGGUCAUCAGCUCCGUCACGGUCUUCUAUCUUGGCCGCCAUGCCAUGGAGUGCCACCAUCGCAUAGAAGAGCGAAACCAGCCUGGCGGGAUCCUGCCUCUGUCAGCGUUGGGAGGCAGCAUGCGGACCACCUUACGGACAGGCCAGAAUCUCAGCACACCUUUUGUUUACAACAAAGACAUGCCACUCAUCUUCAUUGGAGGAGUACCCCGCAGUGGGACAACGCUAAUGCGAGCCAUGCUGGAUGCCCACCCUGAGGUGCGCUGUGGCGAAGAAACUCGCGUCAUACCUCGUAUCCUGGCCAUGAAGCAGAUGUGGAGCCGCUCAGGCCGGGAGAAGAUGCGCCUGGACGAGGCCGGUGUGACAGAUGAGGUGCUGGACGCCGCUAUGCAGGCUUUCCUGUUGGAAAUCAUUGUCAAACAUGGAGAGCCCGCCAACUUUCUCUGCAACAAGGACCCUUUUGCUUUGAAGUCGCUUUCCUAUCUGGCCAAGAUCUUUCCCCGUGCCAAGUUUUUACUUAUGAUUCGUGAUGGCCGGGCUUCAGUCCACUCAAUGAUAUCACGGAAGGUGACCAUUGCCGGCUUUGACCUGGGCAGCUACAGGGACUGCCUGACCAAGUGGAAUCGGGCCAUAGAGACCAUGUACACACAGUGCCUGGAGGCAGCGGACAAAUGCCUACCUGUGCACUACGAACAGUUGGUCCUUCAUCCGGAGAAAUGGAUGAAGACACUGCUAAAAUUCCUUGACGUUCCUUGGAAUGACGCUGUCCUCCACCAUGAGGAGCUCAUUGGAAAAGCUGGAGGAGUGUCGCUCUCAAAGGUGGAGAGGUCCACAGAUCAGGUCAUCAAGCCCGUCAAUGUGGAGGCCUUGUCCAAGUGGGUAGGGAAGAUCCCAGCUGAUGUCGUGAGGGACAUGGCCGUCGUCGCCCCCAUGCUGUCCAGACUGGGCUACGACCCCCAUGCCAACCCUCCCAACUAUGGCCGGCCUGACCCCAAAGUCCUGGACAACACCAGAAGGCUUAUUUCAGCCUCCAGCAGAGCAUGCAUACACGCCCGUCCUCCUGCAGAGUUUCAGUGUGCAGUUCAGAUGGAAGCAUUUUAUUUGAGGUCUUUAAAGGUGAAUUUCAGCUACCAGAUUUCCUAAAAGAACAAUCACAGAUUCAGAAGUCUGCAGAGAGACCCAAACCCAGUUAGGAGCAGCGGGAGUGCCAUCCCCACGACACACAGGAACAGAGAUGCAGUUGAACAGAAAAUCAUGGACAUCGUCUCACCCAUCUCCCCAUCUGUGUUGAGCCUUCGUCACAUGACCACAGCGGGACCGUUUCCUUACCAGAGUAUCCGGAGAACUCUUGGCCUUCGAUGUUGUACUGUACAGAAAAUAAUGCUUAUACUUCUCACAACCACAGAAUGUCUGCUGAUUGUUACUUUUCGUGUCACAUCACGCUCAUCGAUUUUUUUUUUUUUGAAAUUAUUUCUGGCUAUUUAGACAAAACACUCUGUGAUUCUGUUGUAAGAAACUGCAGUGAACUGAAAUCGCAAGAAGCAUUUAUGAAUGGAAAUUAGCUUUUGGAAGAUGCAAUACCUAUUUUAAUGUUACUUUUUUUUCAUGCCUUUGUAUUGUGCAAUGUCAUGGUUACUGAUCAGUAUUGACCGUGAUAAACAUUGUUUGUUUUUUUUAAACCUGUUGUCAGUCUGGUUAUUUUGGAGGAACAGAGACAUUAUUAGUUCUGUGAAAAGAAAAUAGAGAGGAGAGUGAAAAUAACUGAACACUGACAUUUUAUUUAUCAUUUCAGGUGAAGGUGUUUCAGUAAGUCCUGAUGAUUCCAGUUUAAGUUGAAAACGCUUCAUGAUUCUUGACAGUAGUAAAUACGUUUGGAUGUAUGUCCUUCUUCACAUGGACAAGGCUGGAUUACUAACCUGGCAUAGGGAGCAGCUGCCACAGGGCCUCAGACCCCCAGGGGCCCUAAAAAAGCCCCAAAUUCCCAGCGGGUCAAGAGGUUCUAUGGAAUUAGAAUUUGCGCUAUGAAGUGAAUUAAAUCUCAAAUGAACGAAGAGGUGUCCUGAUGUGGACAUGUGUUUUAAAGGGACACUUAGACUUUACUUUAUACUGUGGUGCAUAUUCUUAAAUAAAGUUUUGUUCAAUCAAA